GUUUAAAGUGUUUUUCCAAUGCUUGAAUAUAGGUGCGUGAGCAAGCGGCACAGGGAUCCAGGAAUGAAUGAUUGACACAAAUAAAAUAUAAACGAAAGCGAUUUAUUUACAGCAGUUAACAAGAAUAAAAGUUAUGACAAGACUAAAAAAGUCUUAACUAGGAUAUAAGCCUAACCUUAACUAAUACUAUACAAUAUACUAUUCUACAAUAUUUGUCGGUUCGAGAGAGUGUGAGACGAGCCCUCCACAUACCUGAGAGAGAGAAUUUAUCAGUUACAUGAAUAAUCCAUUUGAUUGCUAAUCUAAUAAAUGUCCACAAAUGUCUAUUGUCCAAAAGUUCACGAGUGUCCACUCACACACCACUUUGUCGCUAUGUUCCUGCUCCAUCGCCAUUGUCCUGCGUUUGUCCAUCAUCUCCCUCUGCGUGGGUGUCCAUUGGCGCCCCGACGGUACAAGUCGCUUUUCCUGUUGUUUCAGCUCACGUUUCGGUUGUUGUUCAUUCAUUAUGUAAGGAAGUAGUCGUCUUCUCUCUGUAUCUAUCUCCGCUUUCCUCUGUCUCUCCCUCUUUCUUCUAUGAUUCAUUCGCUUUUAUAUCUUGUCACUUGGGUGUUUGCCGACACCUGUUGAACAUCUGCUCUCACGGUUCGGCUCUUACGUUGUUUAUCUUCAGAGACGAUUCCCAUGUCAUUUUAUUUAUAUUUAUUUUAAAUACAGAAGUUAACAAUA
rnacentral:lncRNA from 1 species